rnacentral:lncRNA from 1 species
CAGCUACCGUAAUCGUGCUGGGAAAUAGGUCUUAACUCAAUCGUCAAAAGAUAUCUUCAAGCAGCGCAUUGCUAUAAAAGGAACAAUAUUUUUGACAUAAUCUUUUAAGGACACAGAUGUCAUAUAUUUGAAAUCUGCAGGGUCUAAUUGAUAGGCUCAAAAUCAUUGGUGAGGAGAUCAAACAGUUGGAAAAUAAAAAGCAACUGGCUGUUGAGGAUGAAGACUACGACACUGCAAAAACCUGCAAGGUUGUCUGUCUCGUAAACCUCAAACUCUUGCUUCCUUAAAUUAGUACUGAAGAGAUAAGGAAUUGCGUGAAUAAGACAGAUAUAUCAGGACAGAUCUGGAGCAACCUUACUCCCUGUUUCUUGCCUUGAUCGCGUAUUCAACAAUGACAGGAAGAGAUAGAGAAACUCCAUGUACAAGAGCUUUUACCUGACCGUCAACUUGCUCAGAAGGUUGAUGUAGUUUCUGACUGGUAAACUGACUUUUAACUUAAAAACUCCAAUUAUAUAAUGUCUUUUGGCAUUAUGUUCUUAUUCUUAGAUUCCUUCUGUUCUUGAACCGCUCUUGUAGUAAUUUUCAAUACAGCCUACCGCAGUGGAUUGCAACAUAUUUAGUGACUUGUCAAACGCUUAAACAUGAAUCUUGAAGGGACUGAAAGAAAAAACUAAUGCGAGUUAGGCUUCGCUCAAUAAUCAGGGUUGUGUUCUCUUAACAGCGG